rfam:Sugiyamaella lignohabitans strain CBS 10342 chromosome D, complete sequence.
GGCCACUUGGUGUAGUGGUAACAUAGCAGACUUCCAAUCUGCUGCCACGGGUUCGAUUCCCGUAGUGGUCA